AAUGGGACGAGGACACAGAGACACGAGAGAGUCAUGCUUCCUGUUCUCCCUGGAGAGAGGGAGGUUGAAGAGGAUGACAGGAGGACAUCCCUGUGGGCGGUUGGCAUUCCAGUUAUCCUAAUCAUUUCCUUUUUAGUCAUCUGCGGCAGUGUCAUGCUUCAAAAGAAAAAAGGUUGCAGGCAAGCAGCGUUGGUAACCACCUCUGACGAGAAGGACCCUUUUUAGGAGCUGUGUGUAAACAUCUGUUAUUGCUGACUGUGCUUAUAUGCACUGUAGCUGACAGCUGUUUUUGUUGAGGACUGGAGCACCUGUUGUUACUGAGCCUGGAUGUUGAACCUUGUUGAAUCAUUGUUUCGCAGUCAUAAAUAAGCUAAUUAACACAUGCAUUAUACAAGCCAUGAUAUGGUUAAUGCUGUUUAGAGGUACUGAAAUGGCACUUUAGGUUUGAGAGAUUAAUUACCUCUUGUAGGUGAAUGUUGUGAUAAGAGGUAGGUUACCUGUUGCCUGGCAACCCAA